rnacentral:rRNA from 1 species
AAAGAAAGAGGGAGGUAUGUAUAACACAUGCAAGUCGAACGAGACCUUCGGGUCUAGUGGCGCACGGGUGCGUAACGCGUGGGAACCUGCCCUUAGGUUCGGAAUAACUCCCCGAAAGGGGUGCUAAUACCGGAUAAUGUCUUCGGACCAAAGAUUUAUCGCCUUUGGAUGGGCCCGCGUUGGAUUAGCUAGUUGGUAGGGUAAAAGCCUACCAAGGCGACGAUCCAUAGCUGGUCUGAGAGGAUGAUCAGCCACACUGGGACUGAGACACGGCCCAGACUCCUACGGGAGGCAGCAGUGGGGAAUAUUGGACAAUGGGCGAAAGCCUGAUCCAGCAAUGCCGCGUGAGUGAUGAAGGCCUUAGGGUUGUAAAGCUCUUUUACCCGGGAUGAUAAUGACAGUACCGGGAGAAUAAGCUCCGGCUAACUCCGUG